rnacentral:rRNA from 1 species
GGUGGAAUUUUCCGCAAUGGGCGAAAGCCUGACGGAGCAACGCCGCGUGAGGGAGGAAGGCCUGUGGGUUGUAAACCUCUUUUCUCAGGGAAGAAGUUCUGACGGUACCUGAGGAAUCAGCAUCGGCUAACUCCGUGCCAGCAGCCGCGGUAAGACGGAGGAUGCAAGCGUUAUCCGGAAUUAUUGGGCGUAAAGCGUCCGUAGGCGGUUCAGAAAGUCUGCUGUUAAAGCUCACAGCUCAACUGUGAAUCGGCAGUGGAAACUUCUGGACUAGAGGGUGGUAGGGGUAGAGGGAAUUCCUAGUGUAGCGGUGAAAUGCGUAGAUAUUAGGAAGAACACCAGUGGCGAAGGCGCUCUACUGGGCCAUUACUGACGCUGAUGGACGAAAGCUAGGGGAGCGAAAGGGAUUAGAUACCCCUGUAGUCCUAGCUGUAAACGAUGGACACUAGGUGUUGGCCGUAUCGACCCGGUCAGUAUCGAAGCAAAUGCGUUAAGUGUCC